AGUGUCGCGCCAAACACAUUGUAAGACACACAUUUACCGCCAAAGCCGUUCAAGCGGGCACCUCGCUUCACCAUUCAUUACUUCACCGUACUAACUGAUGCACUGAGCACUCGCUGUUAGCUCCAAGCCUGAAAAUCAUCAAAAAAAACCUGUAUCACCAAUAUUUUGUGAUCCUUGUGUGUUUUGGCAACACCCCAAGUGUUAGUUCGCAUUUUAUUCCAAACAUUUGAAACUGACAGUCGCGAGUUGUGGAAUUCUUUUUUUGAAUUUAUUAUUUAUUUAUUUGGCCUGUGUUUUUUUUUAUUUGUUGUGUGCCAGUUGUAUUUUUGUCGUCUACCGUUUACGGAAGGAGAUACACACGAUGUCUCAAAACUGCAAAGCUUCUUACGCUGCGGCGACCACUCGGGACGCAAAUAAUAACACGCUGUAUCAUGGAGGAACUGGACAAGGAUUCGGAGGGAGGAGCUAUGGUCCUCCUGGUGUCACCACGAAAGCCACUCAAAUGACAGCGAAAGUGCUUUUCGGAGGAUCGACGAUCAACGACCUCACCAAAAGGCAAGAGAAGACGGAGCGGGAAGUGCGGCGGACACAUUAGCGACAUCUAGACUCAGGCGCUGUAUAUGUGAUAAGAAAGUCUUGGAAGCUAAGGAGUGAUCUCGGAAGACAGAAUUAAUGUCCAUAAUAAAUAUUUUUAUAUACAUUUUGUAUUGCUAAUAAGAAAUUAUCAAUAUUUACACGUAUCACUGAUUCUAGAACAUUUUGCAGUAAUUCUUAAGUCUUCUUAAAAGUCUUGGUCGAUUGCUUUGUCGAGCUAAAGUAUUUUUGGAUAUUAUAAAAUACUACAGUUGCGAACAGUCAAUAAUACAAGGUGUACCUCAUUACACUAUGGGGCUCCUAAUAAAAAUAGUAAAAACGCUUUGUUAUCUUUCAUAAGCACCUCUGGCUAACCGGGAAUAAAAUUAAAUACGUCAUAUAUUAUAGAACAGCGACAUCUAGGUUCAGUGUUAAGUGUCAAAUUUAUUAAUUUUAGAUAAGGUACUGUUACACUUGGUCUAAAACAGCAUGCUAUAAAAAAUUGAACGCUUGUCGAUUCAAAGUCAAAGUCAAAAUUCCAACACAUGCUACUAAGUGGCAAAUGCUCAAUUGAAGCAUGCUUUCGUACUUGAAAUAAGCAUGGUGUAACAGUAUCUAUAGUUUUAAAAAGAGAUUGUAUAUUAAGAGAACCCAUAAAGGCCAUUACAAGAUCAUUGUUUCCUAAAUACCCGCCUCCUUAUGAAAUUUUAUCGAAAUUUAAUAAAAAAAUAUAUU